UGUACCUUGUAGCACAGCGAAGGAGAUAUUUUCACCAAAUGGCUAGGAUUCAAAAUGCUUGGGGAAAUGUCAGAAACAGUUAUGUUGUAUAUAUAUGGCAACAUACUUUAAGCUAUACACUGAUGAUCAGAACUGUGUUAUGUUGUAUAUAUAUGGCAACAUUAAGCUAUACACUGAUGAUCAGAACUGUAAGGAAAAGAUUGCAAGGAAAGACUGCAGGGAAAAGUUCAACUUAGAGAU
rnacentral:lncRNA from 1 species